rnacentral:rRNA from 1 species
UACGUAGGGUGCGAGCGUUAAUCGGAUUUACUGGGCGUAAAGCGGGCGUAGGCGGUCCGUUAAGUCAGGUGUGAAACCCCUGGGCUCAACCGAGGAAUUGCGCUUGUGACUGCCGGGCUCGAGUACGGUAGAGGGGGGUGGAAUUCCUGGUGUAGCAGUGAAAUGCGUAGAGAUCAGGAGGAACACCGGUGGCGAAGGCAGCGCCCUGGGCCUGUACUGACGCUCAUGCGCGAAAGCGUGGGGAGCAAACAGG